rnacentral:rRNA from 1 species
GGAUGCGAUCAUACCAGCACUAACGCAUCGGAUCCCAUCAGAACUCCGAAGUUAAGCGUGCUUGGGCGAGAGUAGUACUAGGAUGGGUGACCCCCUGGGAAGUCCUCGUGUUGCAUCCC